GUGCUCGCUUCGGCAGCACAUAUACUAAAAUUGCAACGAUACAGAGAAGAUUAGCAUGGCCCCUGCACAAGGAUGACACGCAAAUUCGUGAAGAGUUCCAUGUCUUU
ensembl:snRNA U6 U6 spliceosomal RNA